CCUUACCUCCGUCUCAAAGUGGAGGAAAAAGUCUUCUUGCAUGCUAUGGUGCAAUGGGGCGGCUCCUUUCGCCGCAGACUCUUCACGAGUGGAGGUGCCCACCUUUCUGAUCGAGGCUAUCACUUAUCAUCCAAGGGAAUGGAGUCAUCUUAUAGAUUUUAGCUUGGCUUGGGAGGUAUUGAAAAUGGUCAUCUUGUCCAAAAGAAGUACGGAUCCAUAGCCUUGAUUGAUCGUGGAGGUGCCAUGCUCAGAGCACUAUUUGGCUUCAAUAAGAGUUUCUAAUGGUAUUUCUAUAGGUUAUGUGUUUUCGAGAGGGAUAGCCAUGUGAUGACCACGGCCCUCACCGCCAGGAGACUCUUCCUCAGGACCCUCAAUGGCAUAUUGAUGCAAUUUGGGGUAUAAUGAGGACGGUGGUUGCCGUCCGUUGUUGGGCGUGAGAGCAUAGGAUUGGGAACACAGAGUCAAAAUGUUCGAGUCCUCUACCACGAACAGAGGGGAGGUCACCAACGUAGAAACUUUCACUAUGGAGAAGAUGAUGGUGCAUCCAAGUUUUGAUUUUCUCCUUGACGAAAGAAAGAAAAGGAGCCUUUCAUCGAGCGGGUGUAGAGUCGGCCUCUGUUGUUUCUCUUUCUCUUUGUUUGUUUGUAUGAUGGCCUCUAUUGUUUCUAUUUGUAUGAUCACAAAUCAC
rnacentral:lncRNA from 1 species